UGGAUUUGCUCAGAGAAGACAAAAAAAAAAAUAAAUCUGCUGGUUUUCUAGAAUAUUCUGAUUCAAUUGCUAACAGUAAAAAUGUACAAAUUAGGAACAUUAUGAUUUCCUUAAAAUGUCUGGCUCAUUGAAAGCAGGGUCUGAGCAAAAUAAUGUGCCUGCAGUUAUAAAAAUCUCUGCUUUUAGAAAUGGGGAAGAAUUACGAGACUUUUCUUAAGAAAGGCAUGUUGACAGCUAUAAAAAGCCAAUGUUAAUAGUACUAUUAAAAUCAGUGUAAGUGAUUGUGCUAGUAGGGCAAUCAAGAUUUGGCCCAAUACCCUUGCUUUGUAAACAUCAGCAUCCCUGAGAUUAAUAUAAUACUGACUAGCCAAUGACAUGUUAAAACCUUAGUAAAAUUAACUGUGUUUGAAAGGCUGUUCCUUUAAAAUGUAAAGCAAAUGGCUGAAAUAAAAUGUGGGAUACAGGGGGAGAAGAGAAAAUCAAUAAACCAGCAAACUGUAAAUGAUGUGUAAAUAACUUCUUUAUGUUUUCCUGUUUUUGUAGUUUACAGUUAGCACCAGUAUAUAAAUCUAAGAGCUUUGUGCAAGGGAAGAAAAGUAGAUCCAAAUCUAAAGAGUGUUGUGGAAGCAUGGAGAAUUGUGUUCUACCCCAGGACUAGUGAUCUGAUGGUAAGUUAUCAGCUUUGUUAUGCAGGACCUCUGUAUAUGGAUCAUGUGUACUAUGGUUUUGACUUUGUUUCACAUUGAAGUAAAGAGAUGGUGAAAAAAUAUGGGUCGCAUUAGGCAGAUGCUGUCUGAAUUUUCGUUAAUUGUAAUGGCAAUGUUGUAAAACAAAGUGGCAAGGACCCCUUACACUUUCACAACAAAGAUGAGGAAACAAAACAUGAAUACUUCUGGACAAAAGUGAAUAAGAGGCAUCUUUUAAAGUAUUAAGGUUACAUUGCCCCUAUUCUAAUGGUGUUUGUUAUGUUUUUUAAAGUAUCCAUCAUGAAUUUGAUUUUUUUAAAUUGAUCUUUGAAGUAUUUCAGAUCAACUACUUUUCUGCUGUCUUUUGAUUUAUUUUAUAGGUUGAAAGGAUCAUAUCUGCACUACUGUCACACAUUUGAAUAGCUUGUGUAAGCAUGUGAAAUCCCUCAAGAUGCUUGAUGACAGUUCCUGAAUAUUUAUUUGUACUAGCUUGUCCCUCUCUCCUUGUCUCACUGGACUUCAUGUCUUUAGAAGGGAGCUGAGAAAAUUAUCUGCCUGGAAUGAAGCACCAGUAAACUGUUUGGGUCUGUAUGUAAAAACAUGUGUUUUUACACAUUUAAUUGGAAAUGUGCCACAUACUUAAUGGGAAGUUUUACUUUUGCAAUAUCAAAGUCUUUGAUUGAUAUAAACAGUGAGUUCUUCAGCUAAGGAAAGGGCACAUUGUUGUUGCCUUAAAUUACUGGUGCUGAAGUAAGCAUUGUCUGGUGCACAUUGUGUAACAAGGGGCACCUGCAGAAUGAAAGCUGGACAAAAAGAGUGUGGGGGUAGACGGAAAAAACAGAUGACAUAUGAGACUCCUUACUGCCUUUAAUUCUUCCACAUCUGGGCUACAGUACCUCUGUUGCUCCCUUGCUCACUGUUAAGUGCUAUAGGGAUUAGUGAGGCAUAGAAACCUGUCACAGACAUUGGAUA
rnacentral:lncRNA from 1 species